UACAUACUCCCUCCGUUCAGAAUUACUUGUCCAAGAAAUGAAUGUAUCUAGAUGUAUUUUAGUUGUAGAUACAUCCAUUUUUGUGACAAAUAAUUCCAAACGGAGGGAGUACUAC
rnacentral:pre_miRNA from 1 species